GACGAACGCUGGCGGCGUGCUUAACACAUGCAAGUCGAACGAAGUGGCGAACGGGUGAGUAACGCGUAAUCCACCUGCCCUUCAGAGGGGGCCAACAGUUGGCAACGACUGCUAAUACCGCAUACUGAAGGUGGUGAUUGAGUCUGAUUAGGUAGUUGGAGGGGUAACGGCCCACCAAGGCGAUGACUAGGAGCCGGUCUGGGAGGAUGAACGGCCACAUUGGGACUGAGACACGGCCCAGACGCCUACGGGAGGGAGCAGUGGGGAAACUUCCGCAAUGGACGAAAGGCUGACUGAGCAACGCCGCGUGAGGGAUGACGGCCUUCGGGUUGUAAAGCUCUGUUAAUCGGGACGCGGUACCGGAAUAGAAAGCAACGGCUAACUACGUGCCAGCAGCCGCGGUAAUUC
rnacentral:rRNA from 1 species